AGCAGGACGAUGUGUGCGCCUGAAAAGCGGAGGUCGGCGGUUCGACCCCGCCCCUGCCCACCA
rnacentral:tRNA from 1 species